rnacentral:rRNA from 1 species
CACGAACCGUACGAACGUUAUUCGGAAUUACUGGGCUUAAAGGGUUUGUAGGCGGCCUUGUAAGUCAGGUGUGAAAGCCCUCGGCUCAACCGAGGAACAGCGCUUGAUACUGCAAGGCUUGAGGGAGACAGGGGUAAGCGGAACUGAUGGUGGAGCGGUGAAAUGCGUUGAUAUCAUCAGGAACACCGGUGGCGAAAGCGGCUUACUGGGUCUCUUCUGACGCUGAGGACCGAAAGCUAGGGUAGCGAACGGG